rnacentral:lncRNA from 1 species
CCAUCGGAAAAAAGAAAGAAAUAAAAGAAAGAGAAAAUAUGAUGGAAUAAAGAAAAGCACUCACCAAAUGAAAAACACUCAAUUAGGUACAAAACUAAAAACAAAAAGAACUGAGUAACUUAGCUGAAAAGAAAAGAAAUGUCAAUGCUAUGUUAGAACAAACACAGUGAAAGGAAUAAUGACACCGACUCUGAACCCAAAAACCAUUUU